GCCAGUGUUACUCAGUGGGUAAGAGCAUUGGCCCUCGGACCUAAAGGUCACAGGUUAGAUUCCUGGUCAAGGGCA
rfam:Myotis lucifugus cont2.18598, whole genome shotgun sequence.